rnacentral:rRNA from 1 species
UACGUAGGGUGCGAGCGUUAAUCGGAAUUACUGGGCGUAAAGCGUGCGCAGGCGGUUAUUUAAGUCAGGUGUGAAAGCCCUGGGCUUAACCUAGGAGUUGCGCUUGAGACUGGAUAGCUUGGAGUGCGGCAGAGGGAGGUGGAAUUCCACGUGUAGCAGUGAAAUGCGUAGAGAUGUGGAGGAACACCGAUGGCGAAGGCAGCCUCCUGGGCCAGCACUGACGCUCAUGCACGAAAGCGUGGGGAGCAAACAGG